GACGAACGCUGGCGGCGUGCUUAACACAUGCAAGUCGAACGGAAAGGCCCUGCUUUUGUGGGGUGCUCGAGUGGCGAACGGGUGAGUAACACGUGAGUAACCUGCCCUUGACUUUGGGAUAACUUCAGGAAACUGGGGCUAAUACCGGAUAGGAGCUCCUGCUGCAUGGUGGGGGUUGGAAAGUUUCGGCGGUUGGGGAUGGACUCGCGGCUUACCAGCUUGUUGGUGGGGUAGUGGCUUACCAAGGCUUUGACGGGUAGCCGGCCUGAGAGGGGGACCGGCCACAUUGGGACUGAGAUACGGCCCAGACUCCUACGGGAGGCAGCAGUGGGGAAUAUUGCACAAUGGGCGGAAGCCUGAUGCAGCAACGCCGCGUGCGGGAUGACGGCCUUCGGGUUGUAAACCGCUUUCGCCUGUGACGAAGCGUGAGUGACGGUAAUGGGUAAAGAAGCACCGGCUAACUACGUG
rnacentral:rRNA from 1 species